UGCACACCCAACUCAGGACUCUGGGAAAUCAGGGCAAUUCCAAAGGUAUGAAGUGUCCAAAAAAUUCCUGAAUGUAAGGAUCUGGGUUUGUUAGGCUGAUACCAGGAGUUUCCCAUUUAACACAGGCAAGCAAAGAGGGGAGCCAAAGGCAUCCCAGUCUUGGGAAGGAAGGAGGGAUCAGCAAAAGUCUUACCCAGAGCAGGAGAGAACUGAUAGGACACUAUCCUUAUCUGGAUCCCAGUUUGCGGUCAGCAGACAGAAUGCUAAUACUUAUCUAACAUCAAGACAAGCCCACGGGUUGUUAUCAUUUUCUCACCGUGUGUGAAUGGAGAACAUCACCUGCCUGGGGACCCACAGCUAGUACUCAACAGGGCCAGAAAUUAGCCCCAGGCCCAUCAAAGCUAAAGCCAAACUCUUCACUGGACCUCCCUGGAAAUGCUGCUCAUCUUUGAGGACUGCCUCAGUGACAGGCAGCAGACACCAGAACUGUGAUCCCCUGGGAUUCAAAAGGGGACCUUAACCCUGGCUCCAAACUAUUGUGCAUUUGUGCAACUGUGAGUCAAGUCUCAACUUUGAGCCAAGACCCAUGUGUCUCUCAGGAUCAGGGGUAGACUCAAGAAGGUAAAAUGUGACCCUAAGCAGGUGCCUCUCUCUCCCUGGGCUUUAGUGUCCCCAUCUCUUUUGGGGAAGGGGUGUAGGGCUCUAGUUAAUUGGAUUGCCAAGGUUCUGGCUCUGAUUGUCUAGGAUUUGUACGUCUAAUGCAGGGUUUGUCCUACUCAGAACCUAACAUUAGUUCUGGGUGUUUCUCUCUGGGGUGGCAGCAGGAAUAGAAAACAACAGAGAUAAGGUCUCUUAGCAGCACAGAGCUCAGCCAGGGAAGUUGUCCCAGGAGGCUGACUGCUCACACCUGGGCAGUAUUCCUGGCUUCCUCUCACCCUGCCUGGGUCCUGACUCUAUUCACCAUCCCCAGACACUCCACCAGAAGGAAUUAGAUGAAGUGUGGGAAGGAUUGACACUUUGGACCAAAGGCCCAGGGGCUUCCUACUCUGAUGUCACGGCAAGGGUGGCCUUUCAAGAAGCUGGAGCCAGGGGCAUGAAGCCCAAGUCCUGAGAACACUGUGACCCAAAUGAGAAGACACCAGCCUGUGGCCCAUAGCCAGGCCCAACCCAGGUCUCCUGCCUCCCAGUCAUUGGCUCUUUUCAUGCAACUUUUAAUCCCCUCCCAGUGGAUUCUGGUGCCUCCUCCCACCCCUUGGGAACCUGGAGCCUGAGCAGAAAGAAAAGAGGAGUGGCUAGGGCCCCCAAAGCCCCAGAUACCAAGAGCUGAGUGCCUUUCUCUAUGCUCUUCCCCAAGAAGAGACGGUUAGCCUUGACCCUAAGGUCCCCCAUCCAGAGCAAAGCCAGUUGGUGCCUGUCCACACCUGGUACCUCCCUUACUGGCAAUACAGUCCAGAGCCAGCACCAGCCACAGUAGAGACAAAGCCACCUAGGCAGCUGCCUGAGCCACAAGGAGUUCCAGAAGGGGAAUGCACUGGGAAGGCCUGAGCACCUGCCACCUUCACCCCUCCUGAGCUGAGGCCCCGACACCCCACUGAUGGGCACAGAGCCCCCCUGCAACUUCUCCACUGCUGCCCACCGGUGCAACUUGGGAUCUCAAUCUUGUGUGGACACAGCUACGGAGGGCAGGGGCACAGCCUGCCCCCGGAGAGCAGUCUGCUACUCCUGCCUUGACGCUUCAGUCCCUUUGGCCAGAUGUGGGUGGCUUGCAGGCUGCGGUGAUCAUCAUCCCGGCCCUGUUGUCCUUGUCCACUCUGCUGAUCGUCAGCUGUAUGUUAUGGAAGACGUGCUCCCGGUGGUCUCACGUCAUUCACCCCAGCCCACCAUCCCCAUCAGGGACCCAGGAAUUUGAAAUGUGGAAUGUAAGACCCAGAAAUGGAGUUGAGUGACAAUAACAUCUGUGAACCUCUGCGGAUGAGAACCCCCAGACUGCUUAAUCAACAAUUCCUUUGAGUCAGAAGCCCCUUCCAGUCAAUUCCCCAAACUCUGAGUUUUCAUUUCCUUUUAAAGUCAGUUUCUCUUAUUUUUAAUAGCCUUAACUAAAAUUCAAGGAGUGGAGAAAGAUAAAGCCAGAGGGGUAUGUAGGUUUAAUCAACACAGUCCAAUGUAAGUACAAUAUGAACCAUAUAUGUAAUUUCACAUUUUCUAGUAGGUACACUGAAGAAGGUAAAAAAAGAUGAGUGAAAUUAAUUUUAAUAAUAUAUUUUAUUUCACCCAAUAUAUACAAAUAUUUCAGUACAUAGCCAAUAUUUUUAAAUUGUUAAUGAGAUAUUUUACAUUCUCUUUGAAUUACAUCUUUGAAAUCUGGAGUAUAUCUUACAUUUAUAGCACAUCUAAAAUCAGACUAGCCACAUUUUGAGCACUCCAUAGCCACAUGAAGUCAGUGGCUAACAUAAUCGACAGCACAGAUUUAGACCCCGAGGGUGGUGGGGGAGCGGCUAAAAAGUCCUGGCUUCAUUCCGAAAGCAGUGGGCAUCCAAAGAGAUUCAAGCCAGGAAGUAACAUGAUUUUAAAAAGAUUCAUUUUAGGAAGAUCAUUGUGACUUCCUCUUAAAGAAUAGACUGGGCAGGAGUUAAGGCUAGCAUUGGCAAAAUCGGCUGGGAGGAGGUAAAAUCAUCCAGAUGAGAGAUGAGAGAUGAUGAUGAUGACAGACUUUGGCAGUGGCAGUAGGAAUACUGGGAGACAACCGAAUUCAAGAGAUGCUUGGGAUGGGGAUCCCUGGGUGGCUCAGCGGUUUGGUGCCUGCCUUUGGCCCCAGGCGUGAUCCUGGGAUCUAGUCCCGCAUUGGGUUCCCUGCAUGGAGCCUGCUUCUCCCUCUGCCUGUGUCUCUG